rnacentral:tRNA from 1 species
GGGCACAUGGUGUAGUUGGUUAUCACGCCCGCUUAGCAUUUAGGUGUGCUUGCGGGCGGUGCCCGGUUCAAUUCCGGGUGUGUCCA